CAGCCAGUCAAGUGAUCUGCUUAUCUGAAUGUUUUCACAGUGAUUUAGAAACAGCUGACAACAGUGAUACCAUUCUAUGAGUGCUAAGGGCAACUGAGGUCAUUACAGUCCCACAAACUGACUACAAUA
rnacentral:snoRNA from 1 species